rnacentral:rRNA from 1 species
AGCUCAAGUUGGAACCUGUUUGGCUUAGCUAAACCGGAUUGUAAACUGUAGAAGUGUUUUCCAGGCAAGCCGGACCGAUAAGUCCUUUGGAACAGGGCAUCAUAGAGGGUGAGAAUCCCGUCUUUGGUCUGAGCAUUUGUCUUUUGUGAUACACUUUCAAAGAGUCAGGUUGUUUGGGAAUGCAGCCUAAAUUGGGUGGUAAAUCUCACCUAAAGCUAAAUAUUGGCGAGAAACCGAUAGCGAACAAGUACCGUGAGGGAAAGAUGAAAAGAACUUUGAAAAGAGAGUUAAACAGUAUGUGAAAUUGUUAAAAGGGAACCGUUUGGAGCCAGACUGGCUUGUCUGUAAUCAGUCUAAGUUUCGGCUUGGAUGCACUUGCGGGCUAUGCCUGCCAACGACAAUUUG